GUAUUUAAACACUUAACCAGUUAACCCAAUUACCCAACUACCUAAGAACAAACCCAAAACAAAGUUGAAGUUAUUAAAAUAACCCAACCCAACCGCCAUUUACAAUUCCAGUCGAUACUCCCAUCCCAGCGAUGCAACUGAGCAGUCCACGACCGGGCAAUUUUUCUGCCUGAAAACCUAAAUUCCGGCCACAAAAGGACCGCCACAUCGCCGGAAUCCCUUAUAAGAUCGGAACAAUGAGUAAGGUUGUUAUGGAGUGAUUUCUCAAGAGGAAAGGGGUUGUAUCAUCUUCCAAAACUCCUGAAUACAUUGAUGUGGAUACUCUUCCUUUGGAUCCUCAUGAUCGCAAGCCGAUUGUGUCAUAUAACGUGAGUCAACGAGAUGAGAUUAGAAGGGCAUACCUACUAAGAGGACCAUGUCAACCAAGAGGUAUUGAAUUCCCACAACCAAUGUUUCAAUGUGAUGAGUUAAGAAAAUUUAAGGAAGAAUGGUAUGAUAAAAAUGAGUAUAAAGGAUGGUUAGAGUACAGUUAAAAAUUG